rnacentral:rRNA from 1 species
UACGUAGGUGGCGAACGUUGUCCGGAUUUACUGGGCGUAAAGCGUGUUCAGGCGGUCUAGCAAGUCGGGCAUGAAAUCUCUCGGCUCAACCGGGAGGGGUUGUCCGAUACUGCUGGGCUUGAGGGCAGCAGAGGGUGGUGGAAUUCCGGGUGUAGUGGUGAAAUGCGUAGAUAUCCGGAGGAACACCAGUGGCGAAGGCGACACCCUGGACUCAUACUGACACUGAGGUGCGAAAGCGUGGGGAGCAAACAGG